UCGCGAAAACUUCACAAUGGGGGCAACCCCGAUGAGGGAAUUCCUAGUGCUAGCACAUUUGUGUUAGCUUUUCUUUAGCUUAGAAAACUAGAGGAAUAAGGGCUGGGUAAGACGGGUGCCAGCCGCCGCGGUAAUACCUGCAGCCCAAGUGGUGGUCGAUUUUAUUGAGUCUAAAACGUUCGUAGCCGGUUCGGUAAAUCUUUGGGUAAAUCGGGGGGCUUAACCUUCCGACUUCCGAGGAGACUGCCGAACUUGGGACCGGGAGAGGCUAGAGGUACUUCUGGGGUAGGGGUAAAAUCCUGUAAUCCUAGAAGGACCACCGGUGGCGAAGGCGUCUAGCUAGAACGGAUCCGACGGUGAGGGACGAAGCCCUGGGUCGCAAACGGGAUUAGAUACCCCGGUAGUCCAGGGUGUAAACGCUGCAGACUUGGUGUUGGAGGCCCUUUGGGGGCAUUCAGUGCCGGAGAGAAGUUGUUAAGUCUGCUACUUGGGGAGUACGUCCGCAAGGAUGAAACUUAAAGGAAUUGGCGGGGGAGCACCGCAGCGGGAGGAGCGUGCGGUUUAAUUGGAUUCAACACCGUAAAACUCACCAGGGAAGACUGUUACACGAAGGCCGGGCUAAAGACUCUGCCAGAUUUUCA
rnacentral:rRNA from 1 species